UAUAUCAUCACCUCCGUCCUCAAAGUAACUGGAUUUUGGCUCUCUCUCUCUCUCUCUCUCUCUCUAGGUCGCCUGUGUCUCCUUAUCACUCUGUACGUCUCUCCUUCUCCCUCUUUCAUUCACUAAAAUAUGUGCCUCUUUCUCUCACUAAAAUAAAUGGAUGUUUGGUCCAAAAUCCUUUCUCUCUCUCUGUCUCCGUCUCCCCUCUCAUUAUUAGUCCUCUAAAACAAGUGGAUGCUAGGUUUAUUUAUUGUAAUAAUUCGGAGCCGUGCACAUUAUACGCAUUAUAGAAAGAUUCGAGCACCGUUGUUUCUGUCCAAAUUUCUCUGUAAUGUUAUUUGAGAUUAAUAAGUGGUAUGUUAAAUGACUUCCUACUUUUUCUUCACAUAUUUUCACUUCUCUAACAUGUUCUAUUUCGCUAUGAAUUCAAGAGGGGUCAAACAGUGAGAAAAAAAAAAAAUAGUCUCGCAGGGAUCAAUAAAAUAGUGUAAAAUCAACAAAAUUUCGAAAUGAUUUAGAAAGAGUCAAUCACAGGGAGAGAAGGAGGAGAAAAACAAAGUCCAAGUUAGCUUUCAAGAAAGAGAAAAAUAACAAAUGAAACAGCACAAACGCAUCUAUAUACACCAAUUAUUUUUAUUUUUUUUAGGUAAUUCGGUUGGGAUAAUGGUCCCUACCCGUUUUUUUAAAUUGUUAGUAGUUUUUGAACGUGUAAAGUGAGAAUAAAAGCCUAAACCGUUUUUUAAAAUCGUUAAUAGUUUUUUAAUAUGUAAAGUCAAAUUAAAAGCCUAAACUUUAGUUGGGAUACGUGUUACCAAUUUUAAAAAAAUUAAAAAGUUAAAAAAUCGCUUAAAAUAUGCUCCACUUUUGAAGAACUUUUAAAAAUGGGAAAAAGUUUAUAUAAGGUUGCAGCCUUAAAAUGUAGAAUUACAAAUGAAAAACUAAUGAAAACAUUGAGGCAAUUUUGAUGCCUUAAAGCUUGAGGGUGGUGCCUUAAAGCAUGAGGCAUUGUCAUAGUAAUGAAAAAAAAAAAAAUUACUUGAAUAAAAAAUAAUUAAAAUUUGGAUUGGUUGAAAGGUAAUUUUGUAGAAAAAUAAAAAAAAAGGUUGACUGACUUUCUUUUGUAAAUUCGGCAUAUAAAUAGAGCAUUUUGUAUUUUAUUUAUAAUUUUAUUGUCUGUACGUAAAUUAUUCAAACAAAAAGAAAAAAAAAAAAAGCUGCAACUUCUAUUCCCCAGACAUGUUCUGAUAUCUUAUAUCUCAAGUAUUCUUUUGCCUUCAUUUUUGCAUCCCAGGUCCUUUCUCACCAUCUCCCUAACUUUUUUUAAUUUCUUUGUCUCUAACCAUGACUUUUCUCUUUCCAAACCCUCUUCUUUCUUGUCAUGUCUUUUCCAUCUCAAACUCCUCUCUCUAACCUUACCCUCUUUUUUGUAAUUGUGUUAUUUUUCUCUCUGACUCCUUCCCAUUUAUCAUCAGCAUAAGAAGAAUCUGAAUCAUCUUUAGCGGUUAAAUGUAAAAUUCAAAAAAAUUCAAAAAAUAAAACAUGUCAUGUUUCGGUUUGGAUUUUUUUUUAAUAUUUUUUGAACACCACUAGUAGUACACCCCUGGCUAAUUUAGCUCUGGACUCAUCUUUAAAUCUUCUUUGAGGUCAAUUUGAAAAAUAACUACAUCGGAACUACAUAAAAAAUAAAAAA